rnacentral:rRNA from 1 species
GUUUGAUCCUGGCUCAGGAUGAACCUUUGCGGUGUGCCUAAUACAUGCAAGUCGAACGGUGACGAUUUUGUAGCAAUACGAAUGAAAUCAUAGUGGCGAACGGGUGAGUAACGCGUUGGUGAUCUGCCUCGAAGUGUGGAAUAACUUCCCGAAAGGGUAGCUAAUACCGCAUAGUCUCUCAAGGUUUAGAAAAUUGAGAGUAAAGGAUUUAUUCGCUUCGAGAGGAGCCUGCGUCCCAUCAGCUAGUUGGUAGGGUAAUAGCCUACCAAGGCAAUGACGGGUAGGGGACCUGAGAGGGUGGCCCCCCACAAUGGAACUGAAACACGGUCCAUACACCUACGGGUGGCAGCAGUAGGGAAUAUUAGAAAUGGGCGAAAGCCUGAUCUAGCAACACCGCGUGUGCGAUGAAGGCCUUCGGGUUGUAAAGCACUUUUUGGAGGGAAUAGGAAGGAAGGUACCUCCAGAAUAAGUCUCGGCUAACUACGUGCCAGCAGCCGCGGUAACACGUAGGAGGCAAACGUUAUCCGGAUUCACUGGGCGUAAAGCGCGUGUAGGUGGUUCUGUAAGUAGGGCGUGAAAGCUCCCGGCUCAACUGGGAGAGGCCGUACUAAACUGCAGAGCUAGAGGAUGGUAGAGGGAGGUGGAAUUCCAGGUGUAGUGGUGAAAUGCGCAGAUAUCUGGAGGAACACCAGUGGCGAAGGCGGCCUCCUGGACCAUUCCUGACACUCAGACGCGAAAGCUAGGGUAGCAAACGAAAAGAGAGACUCCGGUAGUCCUAGCCAUAAACGAUCCAGUGUGAGGUCGGCGGUUUAAUCACCGUCGGUGUCCAAGCUAACGCGAUAAAUCUGCCGCCUGAGGACUACGGCCGCAAGGCUAAAACUCAAAGGAAUUGACGGGUCCCCGCACAAGCAGCGGAGCGUGUGGUUUAAUUCGAUGCUCCGCGAAGAACCUUACCUGGGUUUGACAUAACAGUGGUAGAGAAGUGAAAACGGAUCGACCCUUCGGGGAGCUGUUACAGGUGUUGCAUGCCUGUCGUCAGCUCGUGUCGUGAGAUGUUCGGUUAAGUCCGCUAACGAGCGCAACCCGCGCUGUGUGUUACAAGUGUCACACAGUACCGCCGGUAUUAAGUCGGAGGAAGGUGCGGAUGACGUCAAGUCAGCAUGACCUUUAUAUCCAGGGCUACACACGCGCUACAAUGGUCAGAACAAUAGGUUGCCAAGCCGCAAGGCGGAGCCAAUCCUCCAAAUCUGGCCUCAGUUCAGAUUGCAGGCUGCAACUCGCCUGCAUGAAGUCGGAGUUGCUAGUAACCGCAGGUCAGCAUACUGCGGUGAAUACGUUCCCGGG